UACGGAGGGUGCGAGCGUUGUUCGGAAUUACUGGGCGUAAAGCGCACGUAGGCGGAUAUUUAAGUCAGGGGUGAAAUCCCAGAGCUCAACUCUGGAACUGCCUUUGAUACUGGGUAUCUUGAGUAUGGAAGAGGUAAGUGGAAUUGCGAGUGUAGAGGUGAAAUUCGUAGAUAUUCGCAGGAACACCAGUGGCGAAGGCGGCUUACUGGUCCAUAACUGACGCUGAGGUGCGAAAGCGUGGGGAGCAAACAGG
rnacentral:rRNA from 1 species